rnacentral:lncRNA from 1 species
GAUAAACUGUAAACAGCAAUAAUGUUCAGCAAAGUAAGAUCUACAAAUAAGUCAACAUUACCGAAAUGGUCAGUUGACCCCUUUAGGAGUUAUUGCCCUUUAUAGUCAAUUUUUAACCAUUUUUCGUAAAUCUUAGUAAUCUUUUACAAAAAUCUUCUCCUCUGAAACUACUGGGCCAAAUUAAACCAAACUUGACCACAAUCAUCAUUGGGGUAUCU